GAUGAACGCUGGCGGCGUGCCUAAUACAUGCAAGUCGAGCGAACAGACGAGGAGCUUGCUCCUCUGACGUUAGCGGCGGACGGGUGAGUAACACGUGGAUAACCUACCUAUAAGACUGGGAUAACUUCGGGAAACCGGAGCUAAUACCGGAUAAUAUAUUGAACCGCAUGGUUCAAUAGUGAAAGACGGUUUUGCUGUCACUUAUAGAUGGAUCCGCGCCGCAUUAGCUAGUUGGUAAGGUAACGGCUUACCAAGGCAACGAUGCGUAGCCGACCUGAGAGGGUGAUCGGCCACACUGGAACGGAGACACGGACCAGACUCCUACGGGAGGCAGCAGUAGGGAAGCUUCCGAAAUGGGCGAAAGCUUGACGGAGCAACGCCGCGUGAGUGAUGAAGGUCUUCGGAUCGUAAAACUCUGUUAUUAGGGAAGAACAAAUGUGUAAGUAACUAUGCACGUCUUGACGGUACCUAAUCAGAAAGCCACGGCUAACUACGUG
rnacentral:rRNA from 1 species